AUUCUCACUUCAGCAGCAUAUAUAUACUAAAAUUAGAACAAUACAAAGAAGAUUAGCAUGGACCUUUUGCAAGGAUGACAUGAAAAUUCAUGAAGCAUUCCAUAUUUGG